AUUGAACGCUGGCGGCAGGCCUAACACAUGCAAGUCGAGCGAGCGGCGGACGGGUGAGUAAUGUCUGGGAAACUGCCUGAUGUAGGGGGAUAACUACUGGAAACGGUAGCUCAUACCGCAUACCAUCAGAUGUGCCCAGAUGGGGUUAGCUAGUAGGUGGGGUAACGGCUCACCUAGGCGACGAUCUCUAGCUGGUCUGAGAGGAUGACCAGCCACACUGGAACUGAGACACGGCCCAGACUCCUACGGGAGGCAGCAGUGGGGAAUAUUGCACAAUGGGCGCAAGCCUGAUGCAGCCAUGCCGCGUGUAUGAAGAAGGCCUUAGGGUUGUAAAGUACUUUCAGCGGGGAGGCGUUACCCGCAGAAGAAGCACCGGCUAACUCCGUGCCAGCAGCCGCGGUAAUAC
rnacentral:rRNA from 1 species